CCCGAGGUUCAGCAGUUCCCGGCCCGCCGGGGUUUCCUCCGCCGGGAAACGCUGCCCAGAUGUCAUCAAACAUCUCUUCACCCCAGCACCUUCUCAUCUCUAACCCUGUGUCACCUGCAGCUGCUGGCAGCAACAAACCCUUUCAAACACUGAAGAAGACAAAAGAAAUGUGUGUCCAAGGCAGAAAAGAUGCAGGGCUUCCCCAAACAGAGGAGUUUAUUCAGUGUUUGUUCAGGCCCCAGGACAAUGAAACCAUUCUGAGCAGCCUUUGCACAAUGGGUGGCAGAGGAAAAGCUGCUUCAGGCCGAGCUGGGCAGCACAGCCUCAUCUUUGUGGCCUCUGAAGGCUCCAAUUUCAUUUAUUUUCCCAGCAGAAAGACUCUGAUACCAAUCCCACACCUGACCAACAGUAUAAAGCACAGUUCUUGCCAGCAAGCAACCUGAAAAUGCAUUUAUUUUUCUUUAUUCUUCACACCAAGCAAAAAAAAAAAAAAAAAAGGCAUCUUCUUGUUCAGAUAAGUCACAUUUAAAUCAGAGGUAAUAAUUAAUGAGGUAUUCCACACAAUCAUUUUACAGCAACCAUAGAGUUUUAAUCAAUAUAAGCAUUUUUUUUUUUUACAGACAAAUUCCUUUUCACUGUAACACUGAAACGGAGGCAGAACGUGAUUUUGGACGGGUUUUGUUACAAAUAUUCAUGCAAAGGCGCUUUUUUUUUUUGUUUUGGACAAAAUGGGAUCUCACCUGGGCAGUUCUCUCAUUGUGAAACUGAUUGAUUACAAUACAAAAAUAAAAAAGGUUCCUACAAAUCACUGCAGGUUGACAGGGUCAGGAGGCACAGAGCUGGCUGGCUUUGGAAUAAGAGAGGAAUGUGUUGCAGCAAGAAGAAAAAUUGGGGAAGCAGAGGAGUGUUGGCAGCCAGAAAAAAAAAUGAAGCAAAGAAAUGCCAAAGCAUUGGGCUGCUCUGAAAACGCUGGGGGUGGUGGAUGGAGAAAUCCCCAGGUUUUCCAUGGAGGAAACCUCCAUCCAAAACUGCAGGUGGCAGCAGGGACAGGGUGUGAGGAACACAGAAAACGUGGAGGUGCAGAGCCA